rnacentral:SRP_RNA from 1 species
GUGAGGCGCGGUGGUGCGUGCCUGUAGUCCCAGUUACUGGGGAGGCUGAGGUGGGAGGAUCACUUGAACCCAGGAGUUCUGGGCUGUAGUGAGCUAUGCCAAUCAGGUGUCUGCACUAAGUUCAGCAUCAAUAUGGUGACCUCCCAGGAGCAGGGGACCACUAGGUUGCCUAAGGAGGGGUGAACCGGCCCAGAUCGGACACGGAGCAGGUCAAAACUCCUGUGCUCAUCAGUAGUGGGAUCGCGCCUGUGAAUAGCCACUGCACUCCAACCUGGGCAAUAUAGCGAGACCCCGCCUCU